CAAGAAGAAACACAACAUUAUUCUAGGGAAUUGUUAAUGCAACGAGUCUCAAUCACACCGACAGUCCGUUGUUUGAUGAGGAAAGAAUUGAGGAAAAGUAAAAAAAUCUAGGACCCAAGUGAAAAAUCAGGGGUUUAGGCUGGGCCCCACGCUCAGCCUGAGCUCAGCAUGGCCCUAUCACUACAUGCUCAAGUCCGAGACACCCACAAGGGAAGAUUUUCAAAGGAUAUCAGUGCAUCCUUCAUUGCCUUGAUUCUGAAGAAAGAUGGACUAAAAGCCCUAAAGAUUUCAUACCCAUAAGUUUUAUCAGGGUCUAUACAAGAUUUUUGUGAACAUUCUGGCUUCAAGGUUGUGCAGAGUGUUGUUUGGUGUGAUAUCCAAGUGGUAAGGUACAUGUGUGUGGUAGACAGAUUCUGGAUGGGCUGGUGUUAGCUGCUUUCAGUUGGGUGGAACACUACAAUAGAACAUUUUGUAAAUAAGCAGUUUUCCAGAAGGUGUUUCUUAGGGCAAGGUUGCAAGUGUUGGUUGGAUAUGCCUAUUCCUUGAGUGGUUUGUAGAGAUGUCCGUCAAGUUUUCUGAUCAUUGUUGAGGAGCCACCAAGAUUUCUUGUCCAUUCUCUUCUUUUUCUUUUUCUUUUUUUUUGCUUUUGUUUUUUCCUUUCAUUAAUUUUUUUUAUAUCUUCCAUGUUAAAAGACGUACUGUUACUUGGCUGUUACAUCUGCAAUGAUAGAUCUUCGGCCAUAUAAUCUGCAACAUGGUGUCUGGUGUUCAAUCCUGGGACAGGUUGAAUGCUUAUUCCAUUCAAAGGAGACAUGAAAUCAUACAUGUAUCCUUUAUUAUGUGGAGGAUUUAUAAUUAAAAAAAGAAAGAA